rfam:Myotis lucifugus cont2.13818, whole genome shotgun sequence.
GGAUGUGAGGGUGUUCUGGCUGCGACAUCUGUCACCCCAUUGAUCGCCAGGGUUGAUUCGGCUGAUCUGGCUGGCUAGGCGGGUGUCCCCCUCCUCCCUCACCGAUCCAUGUCAUGUGCGUCCCUUCGAAGAGGACGACCUCCCCCCACCCAGGAGAGGACCGGUCUUCGGUCAAGGGUAUACGAGUAGCUGCGCUCCCCUGCUAGAACCUCCAAACAAUAGAACCUCCAAACAAGCUCUCAAGGUCCAUAUUUUAUUAAUCAAGUAUAUUCUUGGUAAUUUUCAUCUUUU